rnacentral:rRNA from 1 species
CGAGUCAUUGUAGCAUACAAGGCGGACGGCUCAGUAACACGUAGUCAACCUCACUUGUGGACGUGGAUAACCUCGGGAAACUGAGAAUAAACCACGCUAGAUCAUAGUGCCUGGAAUGGCUUAUGGUCCAAACAGUUUACUGCCAUGGGAUGGGACUGCGGCCUAUCAGCUUGUUGGUGAGGUAAUGGCCCACCAAGGCGAUUACAGGUACGGGCUCUGAGAGGAGAAGCCCGGAGAUGGGUACUGAGACACGGACCCAGGCCCUAUGGGGCGCAGCAGGCGAGAAACCUUAGCAAUGUGCGAAAGCACGACUGGGUCAGUCCGAGUGAUUCCUGAUAAAGGAGUCUUUUGCUUGUCCUAAAAGCACAGGUGAAUAAGGGGUGGGCAAGUCUGGUGUCAGCCGCCGCGGUAAUACCAGCACCUCGAGUGGUCAGGACGUUUAUUGGGCCUAAAGCAUCCGUAGCCGGCUCUGCAAGUCUUCGGUUAAAUCCACCUGCUCAACAGAUGGGCUGCUGGAGAUACUACAGAGCUAGGGAGUGGGAGAGGCAGACGGUAUUCAGUGGGUAGGGGUAAAAUCCUCUGAUCCAUUGAGGACCACCAGUGGCGAAGGCGGUCUGCCAGAACACGUUCGACGGUGAGGGAUGAAAGCUGGGGGAGCAAACCGGAUUAGAUACCCGGGUAGUCCCAGCUGUAAACGAUGCAAACUCGGUGAUGCAUUGGCUUAUGGCCAAUGCAGUGCCGCAGGGAAGCCGUUAAGUUUGCCGCCUGGGAAGUACGGACGCAAGUCUGAAACUCAAAGGAAUUGACGG